rnacentral:rRNA from 1 species
UUAUGGCUCAGGAUGAACGCUAGCUACAGGCUUAACACAUGCAAGUCGAGGGGCAGCAUAAUCGAAGCUUGCUUGAUUGAUGGCGACCGGCGCACGGGUGAGUAACGCGUAUCCAACCUUCCCCUUAGUAGGGCAUAGCCCGGCGAAAGUCGGAUUAAUACCCUAUGUUAUCCGUCGAGGGCAUCUGAAGUGGAUUAAAGAUUUAUCGCUAAGGGAUGGGGAUGCGUCUGAUUAGGUUGUUGGCGGGUAACGGCCCACCAAGCCUACGAUCAGUAGGGGUUCUGAGAGGAAGGUCCCCCACAUUGGUACUGAGACACGGACCAAACUCCUACGGGAGGCAGCAGUGAGGAAUAUUGGUCAAUGGGCGAGAGCCUGAACCAGCCAAGUAGCGUGCAGGAUGACGGCCCUAUGGGUUGUAAACUGCUUUUGCAUGGGAAUAAAGUCGGGGACGUGUCCCCGUUUGUAUGUACCAUGAGAAUAAGGACCGGCUAAUUCCGUGCCAGCAGCUGC